UUCUUUUACUUGGUACUCUAGCUUUUUUCUUAGGCUUAGUUUGGUAUUGAAAUUUAUUAUUUGACGUUAGCAGAUAAAAUAAAGUUGGGAUAAAAGUAUAUAGGUUCUGCGUUCUCCAAUGAAGCCGCAAAAAAAUAACAUGAUCGAUUCAUCGUAAUAUACGGAAUAUAAUAUUAUGUACGAAAACAAACAGAGUAUUUUUCGAUCAUACUAUCUCACUGCACAUAGCGUAAUCUCACUGCAAUCUCAAACGAAGCCUUAAUAGAAAUGAGAGUACGAAAUAAAUCAUGCUACGCU
rnacentral:lncRNA from 1 species